AUUAGUUACCUAUAGGCGGAGGUGGGCACCGUUAGUCGUCAUGGCAACCAGAAUAAAAGUUGACUGGCGUUUUGUGUACGCUACAGAUUUAUUGUCUUGUUCAAGUUAUGGCUAGUAUCGUGCUUGUAGGGGAGAUCAAGUGUGUUUUGUCGUACUUUUGAACUACGAGACGUCACUGUAAGUAAAGUUGAUGAAUCCUUUGGCAGAUGGGUCUCCGGCCACUUUUAUAGUGGACAUUUUGUAUUUGAUUCGAGCAUAAUUACGAUAAUGGCUUUCUUAGUUCUGGAUGUUCUCUUGUGGAAAGAGCUUCAGUUUUGUGAUGGAUGAAUGGGAGGCAAGAACUUUGCUCUCCUCAUAUGGAGUGACUGCCAUUAUGCUCUCAUAUGGAGGGAGCGACUGUCAACUUAUUUAUGGGAGGAGUUAGAUUCCCCUGAUAUUCUAGCCAUCGUGGUUGUAACAGUUUUUCAGUGGUUCAGAAUAUACUUCAUGAUCUGAAGGAAUCCUGUAUACUACUUUUUAUUGAUGACCUUGUAUGUACUGAGUUUUUAGUUUGCAAUGAUUUUGUUUUGAAUGAAAAGGUUUGCAUUGAA